AACCUGGGAGGCGGAGCUUGCAGUGAGCCAAGAUCGCGCCACUGCACUCCAGCCUGGGCAACAGAGCAAGACUCUGUCUCAAAAAAAAAAAAAAAAAAAAAAAAAAAACAUCUGGUCCAACUCUUAUUUUCUGGUGAGGAGACGAGCUCAUACACUGAUCAGCUCACCCUUACACGGUAGAUGUUCAAAGAUGGAUUUCAUGGUUCUCAAUGCAGUGGCUGUUAGUCUAAGCUCUAAAAAAGUAACCUCAACAUACUAACAGCCUCCUGUGAGGAGAGGAACCAUUAGUUAAAUAUCAAGGAAUGGCUCUGAUGAUGAAAUGUAUCAGCCUGAUCCGGUAGUUUGCUGGACAUUGGUGGGCAUCCACCCUGGUGGGUGUGUAAGUGUCUUGAAGCAGGGCGUCAACCUAGCCAGGUAAGGCUUCUGAGGGAAGGCGAGUUUGUGUUCAGUUUCAAAGGGGUAAAGUUUUUAAAAAUUAUUUCAAUAGGUAUUUGGGGAACAGGGGGUGGUUGGUUCCAUGGAUAAGCUCUUUAGUGGCGAUUUCUGAGAUUUUCGUGCACCUGUCACCCAAGCAGUGUACACUGUACCCAAUGUGUAGCAUUUUAUCCGCCCCCAUCCCAACCUUCUCUCCAAGUCCCCAAAGUCCAUUGUAUCUUUCUAUUUUCUUUUUUUUUUUUUUUUUUUUUUUUGAGACAGAGUCUCGCUCUGUCGCCAGGCUGGAGUGCACUGGCGCGACCUCGGCUCACUGCAACCUCCACCUCCAGGGUUCAAGCGAUUCUCCUGUCUCAGCCUCCCUAGUAGCUAGGAUGACAGGCAUGCGCCACCAUGCCCAGCUAAUUUUUGUAUUUUUAGUAGAGACGGGGUUUCACCAUGUUGGCCAAGAUAGUCUUGAUCUCUUGACCUUGUGAUCUGCCAGCCUUGGCCUCCCAAAGUGCUGGGAUUACAGGCGUGAGCCACCGUGCCCAUCCCAUUGUAUCAUUCUUAUGCCUUUGCAUCCUCAUAGCUGAGCUCCUACUUACAAGUGAGAACAUACGAUGUUUGGUUUUCUAUUCCUGAGUUACUUCACUUAGAAGAAUGGUCUCCAACUCCAUCCAGGUUGCUGCGAAUGUCAUUAUUUCAUUCCUUUUUAUGGCUGAGUAGUAGUCGAUGGUAUAUAUAUACACACCACAUUUUCUUUACUCAUUGACUGUUGGGCAUUUGGGCUGGUUCCACAGUUUUGCAAUUUCAAAUUGUGCUGCUAUAAAUAUGCAUGUCUUUGUCAUAUAAUGAUGUAUUUUCCUCUGGGUAGAUAUUCAGGGGUAGGACUGCUGGAUCGAAUGAUAGAUCUACUUUUAGUUCCUUAAGGCAUCUUUAAAGGAGUACAAAGUCUUAAGGAUUGGGGUACACGAAGAAAAAGAGGAGGAGAAGGAUGUACCUCAGUUGAAUGAGUCCAGAGGAAGGCUGGAUGGUUGACCUUUGGCUGGGUGCGCAGAUGGACGUGAUUCUAGUAAUUUGGGGCAGUAUUAACCAUGAAGCUGAUUUAUUGCAGGUACCUCAUCUGAGAUUGAUGGUAACUGAUGGCACAUGCCAAGGGGCAUUUUUAGGGAAGGAUCCAACAGAAUUCGAAACAACUGACUGCAGCACAAGGCGGGAGCCUCUGGCUCUCUGAGGUUCCAGGGCCAGAACCCCAAGUCAGGGGGACAGUGAGAGGAGGCACCCAUGAUGGAGAAAUAAGGACAGCACAACUAAUUCCUUCACUUAUCUUGAGAUGGAGUCUCACUCUAUCGCCCAGGCUGGAGCACAGUGGCGCGAUCUCGGCUCACUGAAACCUCCACCUCCCGGGUUCAAGUGUUUCUCCUGCCUCAGCCUCCUGAGUAGCUGGGAUUACAGGUGCCCACCACCAUGCCCAGCUAAUUUUUUGUAUUUUUAGUAGAGACGGUUUCACUAUGUUGGCCACGCUGGUCUUGAACUCCUGACCUUGUGAUCCGCCCGCCUUGGUCUCCCAAAGUGCUGGGAUUACAGGCAUGAGCCACCACACCUGGCCUACGACAGCUCUUUUUAAGGACUUUUUUAGAGCAGUUUAGGUUCACAGCACAAUUGAGAGGAAGGUACAGAGACAUCCCAUUUACCCCUGUCCCUGAACAAGAUGCACUUCACUGAGGUUAUGUUAGAUUCCAGAGAAACAUUGGUUGAGGGACUCUUCUUUCCAAAAUAUUUUUGCUUCCAAAAGCUGUUUCAAACACCACAACACCAAAACCCUGUUUUGGGUUUUUUGGUUUUUUUUUUUUUUUUUUUUUUUUGAGACAAAAUCUUGCUCUGUCAUGCAGGCUGGAGUGCAGUGGUGUGAUCUCGGCUCACUGCAACCUCUGCCUCCUGGGCUCAAGCAAUUCUCUUGCCUGAGCCUCCCAAGUAGCUGGGAUUACUAAGAUUACGGGCAUGCACCAGCAUGCUCGGCUAAUUUUUGUAUUUUUCAUAGUGAUGGGGUUUCACCCUGUUGGCCAGGCUGGUCUCAAACUCCUGACCUCAGGUGAUCCGCCCACCUCAGCCUCCCAAAGUGUUGGGUUUACAGGUGUGAGCGACCGAGCCCAGCCAGAAAUACAAACUAGUUGACUGUGAGUUAUCAGAUGUCAUGAAAUUGUUAGCUUCCAGGUUCAGGGGCUCUGUGAUACGUGACGACAAACAGAAGAAAUGGUAUGUGGUGCUGCAGUGGGCCUCCCUGGUUUAAUAAUAUGUUCAUCUUAUUCCAGUUCUGUAUCACAAAUACAGAAGGGUAUAAUUUAGCAUAGAAAGUCUCCAUAGAUCUUCUAUAUAUUAUGGUAUGUAUGUCUACAGAUUCACAAUUAUGUUCUGUUCACCAGUGCAACACAAAAAUAAAAAUUACCUGUCUGUAGCACACUCGGAACACACCCCUGCGUCCCUCUGGGAUGUUCUCAUGCUUUUUAGAUCUGUUAGUCGUAAUGAUUUCAUUUCUUCCCAUAGCCUGGGCAACAAGAGUGAAACUCCAUCUCAAAAGAAAAAAAAACUUCAUAUCCACAGUUGUCUUUAUAAUUAAGUAUAGACUGGCUAAAGUGGCUCAGGCCUGUAAUCCCAGCACUUUGGGAGGCCGAGGUGGGCAGAUCAUGAGAUCAGGAGUUUGAGACCAGCCUGACCAACAUGGUGAAACUCCAUCUCUACUAAAAACAAAAAGUUGGCCAGGCACGCUGGCGGGCACCUGUAAUCCCACCUACUCGGGAGGCUGAGGCAGGAGAAUCACAUGAACCUGGGAGGCAGAGGUUGCAGUGACCAAGAUCACACCACUGCACUCCAGCCUGGGCAACAAGAGCGAAA
rnacentral:lncRNA from 1 species